rnacentral:rRNA from 1 species
UACAGAGGCCCCAAGCAUUACCCGGAAUCACUGGGCGUAAAGGGUGUCCAGGCGGCCAUAUUAGUCGUUCGUUAAAUCUCUGGGCCUAACCUAGAGGCUGCGAGCGACACGGUAUGGCUCGAGGGCGCGAGAGGUAGAGGGAACUCAUGGUGGAGGGGUGAAAGACGUUGAUAUCAUGGGGAACACCAAAGGCGAAGGCACGCACUGGCGCGUUCCUGACGCUGAGACACGAAAGCGUGGGUAGCGAAUGGG